rnacentral:rRNA from 1 species
GACGAACGCUGGCGGCGUGCCUAAUACAUGCAAGUUGAGCGAUGAAGAUUGGUGCUUGCACCAAUUUGAAGAGCAGCGAACGGGUGAGUAAUGCGUGGGGAAUCUGCCUUUGAGCGGGGGACCACAUUUGGAAACGAAUGCUAAUACCGCAUAACAACUUUAAACAUAAGUUUUAAGUUUGAAAGAUGCAAUUGCAUCACUCAAAGAUGAUCCCGCGUUGUAUUAGCUAGUUGGUGAGGUAAAGGCUCACCAAGGCGAAGAUACAUAGCCUACCUUGGAGGGUUAUCGGCCAAAAUGGGACUGAGACACGGCCCAAACUCCUACGGGAGGCAGCAGUAGGGAAUUUUCGGAAAAGGACGAAAGUCUGACCGAACAACGCCGCGUGAGUGAAGAAGGUUUUCGGAUCGUAAAACUCUGUUGGUAGAGAAGAACGUUGAUGAGGGUAAAAAGCUCAUCAAGUGACGGUAACUACCCAGAAAGGGACGGCUAACUACGUG